rnacentral:rRNA from 1 species
AUUGAACGCUGGCGGCAGGCCUAACACAUGCAAGCCGAACGGUAACAGGAAGCAGCUUGCUGUUUUGCUGACGAGUGGCGGACGGGUGAGUAAUGUCUGGGAAACUGCCUGAUGGAGGGGGAUAACUACUGGAAACGGUAGCUAAUACCGCAUAAUGUCGCAAGACCAAAGAGGGGGACCUUCGGGCCUCCUGCCAGCGGAUGGGCCCUGAUGGGAUUAGAUAGUAGGUGGGGUAACGGCUCACCUAGGCGACGAUCCCUAGCUGGUCUGAGAGGAUGACCAGCCACACUGGAACUGAGACACGGUCCAGACUCCUACGGGAGGCAGCAGUGGGGAAUAUUGCACAAUGGGCGCAAGCCUGAUGCAGCCAUGCCGCGUGUAUGAAGAAGGCCUUCGGGUUGUAAAGUACUUUCAGCGGGGAGGAAGGGAGUAAAGUUAAUACCUUUGCUCAUUGACGUUACCCGCAGAAGAAGCACCGGCUAACUCCGUGCCAGCCGCCGCGGUAA